CCUACGGGCGGCAGCAGUGAGGAAUAUUGGUCAAUGGGCGCGAGCCUGAACCAGCCAAGUCGCGUGAGGGAAGACGGUCCUAUGGAUUGUAAACCUCUUUUGUCGGGGAGCAAAAGACGCCACGCGUGGCGUUCCGAGAGUACCCGAAGAAAAAGCAUCGGCUAACUCCGUGCCAGCAGCCGCGGUAAUACGGAGGAUGCGAGCGUUAUCCGGAUUUAUUGGGGUUAAAGGGUGCGCAGGAGGAAGAUCAAGGCAGCGGUAAAAUUGAGAGGCUCAACCUCUUCGAGCCGUUGAACGUGGUGUUCUUGAGUGAGCGAGAAGUAUGCGGAAUGCGUGGUGUAGCGGUGAAAUGCAUAGAUAUCACGCAGAACUCCGAUUGCGAAGGCAGCAUACCGGCGCUCAACUGACGCUCAUGCACGAAAGUGUGGGUAUCGAACAGGAUUAGAUACCCCAGUAGUC
rnacentral:rRNA from 1 species